rnacentral:misc_RNA from 1 species
AUAAAAUGUAUAUAUUAUAUAUUUCUAGUCCGAUAAGCUUCCAUUUUUAGUCUAUAAUCCUAUAUACAUCAGAUUCAAUUGAAACAGAAGGAAUAUCAUCUUUCCUCCUCCCCUAUCAUCCCCUAUCAUCCCCAGCUACAACCAACACCUCCGCCGCCAACAUCCAACCAGAUGACAGGGUAAAAUUUCAAAUCAGCUGCCUGACAUGCACACUUC